rnacentral:snRNA from 1 species
AUUGCUUCUCAGCCUUUUGGCUAAAUCAACUGUAGUAU